rnacentral:rRNA from 1 species
CCGUCCUACGGGGCGCAGCAGUGGGGAAUAUUGGGCAAUGGGCGCAAGCCUGACCCAGCAACGCCGCGUGAAGGAAGAAGGCUUUCGGGUUGUAAACUUCUUUUGUCAGGGACGAAGCAAGUGACGGUACCUGACGAAUAAGCCACGGCUAACUACGUGCCAGCAGCCGCGGUAAUACGUAGGUGGCAAGCGUUAUCCGGAUUUAUUGGGUGUAAAGGGCGUGUAGGCGGGAAUGCAAGUCAGAUGUGAAAACUACCGGCUCAACUGGUAGUCGCACUCAAAACUGCAGCUCUUGAGUGAAGUAG